rnacentral:rRNA from 1 species
AGAGUUGAUCCUGGCUUAGGAUGAACGCUGGCGGCGUGCUUAACACAUGCAAGUCGAACGGGGAAUUUUUAGUAAGAGAGCUUGCUCGAUUACAGGGAAUUCCUAGUGGCGGACGGGUGAGUAACGCGUGGGCAACCUGCCCUGUACAGGGGGAUAGCAGUUAGAAAUGACUGAUAAAACCGCAUAAGCGCACGGAAUCGCAUGAUUCAGUGUGAAAAACUCCGGUGGUACAGGAUGGGUCCGCGUCCGAUUAGCCAGUUGGCGGGGUAACGGCCCACCAAAGCGACGAUCGGUAGCCGGCCUGAGAGGGCGACCGGCCACAUUGGGACUGAGACACGGCCCAAACUCCUACGGGAGGCAGCAGUGGGGAAUAUUGCACAAUGGGGGAAACCCUGAAUGCAGCGACGCCGCGUGAAGGAAGAAGUAUUUCGGUAUGUAAACUUCUAUCAGCAGGGAAGAUGAUGACGGUACCUGACUAAGAAGCCCCGGCUAACUACGUGCCAGCCGCCGC